UGCUGCCUGUGCAAAGCUGAGGGGAGUGAAAAGCAGCAACUUAUUUUUGCCGACAAGUAGAUGCAUAAUCCCUGAAUGCACUAGGAAAGCUAUCCAUUGAGGAAGAAAGCAACAUGUUUGCAGACUCCACACCCCAUUAUCAGGGAAUUAAUAAACAACAGUGGUGAUAUGGACCAAAGGAGCAGUCAUGCAUUUCUCAGUCCUCUGGAAAUUCCCUAGCCAUGGGACCACAUGCCCUUUUGUUGACUCUCCUUCUGGGAACUUCUUUACACUGAAAGUAUCUCCAGGGCCUGUUGCUGGAUCCACACCUGUUCUCCUUCCACUCCUAUUGCAAAUAGAUUUUCCCUCAUUUUGACAGGCAGUGAGUACUGUGUAUUAAUAGCAGCUCUCUUCAGAGGUUUUGCAGGUGGGAUGGGCCAUGGUCUCCAUCUGAUCCAGGUGCUCAUUGAUGGAGUCCAGCACACCAUCAGCUGCUCUCCUGGGCUGCUCAUUCCUGAGCUGCUGACAGGAAGCCUUUCCUUAGCAGGUGAGUGUGG
rnacentral:lncRNA from 1 species